UACGGAGGGUGCAAGCGUUAUCCGGAUUCACUGGGUUUAAAGGGUGCGUAGGUGGGCAGGUAAGUCAGUGGUGAAAUCUCCGGGCUUAACUCGGAAACUGCCAUUGAUACUAUCUGUCUUGAAUACCGUGGAGGUCAGCGGAAUAUGUCAUGUAGCGGUGAAAUGCUUAGAUAUGACAUAGAACACCAAUUGCGAAGGCAGCUGGCUACACGAAUAUUGACACUGAUGCACGAAAGCGUGGGGAUCAAACAG
rnacentral:rRNA from 1 species